CAGGACGAACGCUGGCGGCGUGCCUAACACAUGCAAGUCGCGGGAGAAAGCUCCUUCGGGAGCGAGUAGACCGGCGGACGGGUGAGUAACGCGUGAGUGAUCUACCUGCAGGCGGGGGACAACCCAGGGAAACCUGGGCUAAUACCGCAUACAGCGGCGGGGGUGGAGCCCCGUCGUGAAAGCUGGCCUCUCCUUGGAAGCUAGCGCCUGCAGAUGAGCUCGCGUCCUAUCAGCUGGUUGGUGAGGUAACGGCUCACCAAGGCGAUGACGGGUAGCUGGCGUGAGAGCGUGGUCAGCCACACUGGGACUGAGACACGGCCCAGACUCCUACGGGAGGCAGCAGUGGGGAAUCUUGCACAAUGGGCGAAAGCCUGAUGCAGCGACGCCGCGUGGGGGAGGAAGGCCCUA
rnacentral:rRNA from 1 species